rnacentral:rRNA from 1 species
UAUAAAUGUAUAAUUAAAAACUAAUUGAUUAAUAGUUAUGGUCUUUAAAAAUAAAUAAUUUGGCGGUAUUUUAGUCUUUUCAGAGGAACCUGUUUUAUAAAUGAUAAUCCACGAUUAAUCAAUCUUAAAUUAGAAAUUUAUAUAUCAUCGUUAUUAAAUAUUUUAAAAGAAGUUAAUAUUUAAAAAAUAAAAUUUUAUUUUAAUUCAGAUCAUGGUAUAGUUUAUAUUUAAGUAAUAAUGGGUUACAAUAUUAAUAAAUUUGGAAUUUAAAUUUAAAAUUUAAAUGAAAUUGGAUUUGAAAGUAAUUAUUUUUAUAUAAUAAUAAUGAUUAAGCUCUAAAAUAUGC